UGUACGUACAAGCAGUGGGAGCACGCUUAGGCGUGUGACUGCGUACCUUUUGUAUAAUGGGUCAGCGACUUAUAUUCUGUAGCAAGGUUAACCGAAUAGGGGAGCCGAAGGGAAACCGAGUCUUAACUGGGCGUUAAGUUGCAGGGUAUAGACCCGAAACCCGGUGAUCUAGCCAUGGGCAGGUUGAAGGUUGGGUAACACUAACUGGAGGACCGAACCGACUAAUGUUGAAAAAUUAGCGGAUGACUUGUGGCUGGGGGUGAAAGGCCAAUCAAACCGGGAGAUAGCUGGUUCUCCCCGAAAGCUAUUUAGGUAGCGCCUCGUGAAUUCAUCUCCGGGGGUAGAGCACUGUUUCGGCAAGGGGGUCAUCCCGACUUACCAACCCGAUGCAAACUGCGAAUACCGGAGAAUGUUAUCACGGGAGACACACGGCGGGUGCUAACGUCCGUCGUGAAGAGGGAAACAACCCAGACCGCCAGCUAAGGUCCCAAAGUCAUGGUUAAGUGGGAAACGAUGUGGGAAGGCCCAGACAGCCAGGAUGUUGGCUUAGAAGCAGCCAUCAUUUAAAGAAAGCGUAAUAGCUCACUGGUCGAGUCGGCCUGCGCGGAAGAUGUAACGGGGCUAAACCAUGCAC
rnacentral:rRNA from 1 species